AACGAACGCUGGCGGCAGGCCUAACACAUGCAAGUCGAACGCCCCGCAAGGGGAGUGGCAGACGGGUGAGUAACACGUGGGAACCUUCCCAACAGUACGGAAUAGCCCAGGGAAACUUGGAGUAAUACCGUAUAUUCCCGAGAGGGGAAAGAUUUAUCGCUGUUGGAUGGGCCCGCGUCGGAUUAGCUAGUUGGUGAGGUAACGGCUCACCAAGGCGACGAUCCGUAGCUGGUUUGAGAGAAUGACCAGCCACACUGGGACUGAGACACGGCCCAGACUCCUACGGGAGGCAGCAGUGGGGAAUCUUGGACAAUGGGCGCAAGCCUGAUCCAGCCAUGCCGCGUGAGUGACGAAGGCCUUAGGGUUGUAAAGCUCUUUUUACCGGGGGACGAUAAUGACGGUACCCGGAGAAUAAGUCCCGGCUAACUUCGUGCCAGCAGCCGCGGUAAGGUGCGCGAGU
rnacentral:rRNA from 1 species